GGUUCGCGCGCGUUCGCGGCCGUGCCGAUUUGACUUCCCUCGCUUCCUCCUCGAUAAAAGGACUUUUUCUCUAUGAAUGCUACUUUAAAACUCCCAUUAAGCAAGUCGAGACGAUAGCGACCAAUAUAGAUCAACCAGAACGUGCAUCGAUAAGAUAGUCCCUACUUUGAUAAAUUAGAGAAAAUGAGAAAUUAGUGAGGUCAACAUAUACAUCGUUGGCAACGCUGGGGCGGGGCUGUCACAAGUUCCACUCGCCGGUGGUUGGUAACGCUGCGGUGCGUCUGCCAGUGUGAAGCGAGUUGCGGAGAGUAACGGUAGUGUGCGUGUCUUGGGCCUGGUGUGUGUGCGUGUGUUUGCGUGCGUACGUAUUGUGGCUGUGCGCUGCGUGGUCGCUUUGUGGCUAUACAUAGCCGGAGAUGAAUGAAGGGGAAACGACAGAGCCUGUGACGCCCGGUGCACCUGCCUCUCCCGCGAGAGAAAAUAAACCAAAGAUAGAACUUACACAUUCGGAAGAAAGUACACCUUUGCGAAAGUGAGAGU
rnacentral:lncRNA from 1 species